rnacentral:lncRNA from 1 species
AAUACCAACAUUCUGGGUGCAGUUCUUGGCACUUUAAUGUGGUCACUCAAUGCAGGCCUCACAACUCUCAGGUAGCUCAUACCUUUCCUACCUAACCAAGGAAGAAACGGAGGCAUGGAAGGUGCAGCUCCGAAGGAGCAGGUUAGGAUUCAAACCAGUGAUCUUCGUCACAUGCUGACCUACCUCUCAGGCUGAGAUAACGUUCAAAAUUAACCAGGUAGAACAGUGUUCCAUAAAUCAGCCAGAAAUGGUCCUUGUGGAUGGGCCUGUGGUUAUUCCCUGAAGAACAAGACCAUUCACCCGAAAAUCCACCUGUGUCACACUCAAAUGUUUACAUAUCCAAUUAUUUUUAAAACACCCCAAUCAAGCAUGUUUACAGCCAUUUAGAUCCAUAUAGAUUGUCUGUUUUGCUGACAAUCAACCCAAGACCUCUGUUAGCAAAGGACACGGUGCCAGGUCCAGAGAAGGUGGGACAGAGACACAAACAGGAACCGCUCCGUCCCCGGGAGCCUUGCUCUGAUGGGCCAGUGAGGACAUAUCACAGACCGCGAGGCACACGCAGACGGCAGGCCAAGAGAAGGGGCUGCGCUGCCGGGAGGCAGUGCUUUGAGCUCUAGUGGAUGGAACACUGCUAACCAGCGAAGGUGGAGAGAGGGCACCCGUCUGAGAGGAUGAAAAGGCAGCAAAGCACAGCUGGCCUCGGGGAACCAGAAGCCACAGGGACAUCAGGCUGGGUGCUGCUGUCUGCUGGCCACUGGCUGGGGGACUGUACUGGGCCUGGAGGGACAUCCCUGACACUCUCCACCGGAUGCCAGGGGCACCCCCAGCCCCAGGUGACAUCUGUUCCCGAGCUGUUCCUGACGGCCAUGAAGCUCAGCCACGAUGACAGAGGAGCCAGGUAUUUACACCUGGCCAGAGAAGACACGAACAAUCUGUUCAGGUACGUGGUGCAUUGUAAGAACAUGGUCUUGAAUGUUUUAUUUAAAUCAAGGAUGUCCAAUCUUUUGGCUUCCCUGUGCCACAUUAGAAGAACAACUGUCUUAGGCCACACACUAAAUACACUAACACUAAGGACAGUUGAUGAGCUAAAAAAAAAUAAAUAGAGGACCUCAAUGUUUUAAGAAAGUGUAGGGAUUGUGUUGGGAUGCAUUCCAAGCCAUCCUGAGCAUGCGGACUGCAGGCUGUGGGUUAGACAAGCUUGGUUUAAAGCACUGACUGUAUGUUACGUGGUUAAAAUA